rnacentral:snRNA from 1 species
GUGCUCGCUUUGGCAGCACAUAUACUAAAAUUGGAACGAUCCAGAGAUUAGCAUGGCCCCUGCGCAAGGAUGACACGCAAUAAAAAUUAAAAAUAUUAUU